rnacentral:rRNA from 1 species
AAUGAACGUUGGCGGCGUGGAUUAGGCAUGCAAGUCGAACGAGAUCUGUAGCAAUACCGUGAAAGUGGCAAAAGGGAGAGUAAUACGUAGGUACCUGCCCUCGGGUCUGGGAUAGCUGCGGGAAACUGCAAUUAAUACCGGAUGACGUCUCUGGACCAAAGGUGUGAUUCCGCCAGGGGAUGGGCCUGCGUCCUAUCAGCUAGUUGGUGUGGUAAUGGCGCAACAAGGCAAAGACGGGUACGGGGUGUGAGAGCAUGCCCCCGCUCACUGGGACGGAGAUACUGCCCAGACACCUACGGGUGGCUGCAGUCGAGAAUCUUCCGCAAUGGGCGCAAGCCUGACGGAGCGACGCCGCGUGUGGGAUGAAGGCCUUCGGGUUGUAAACCACUGUCAGUGGGGAGCAAAUGCAUCAGGGUUCUCCCUGGUGUUUGAGCGAUCCGCAGAGGAAGCACAGGCUAAUUCCGUGCCAGCAGCCGCAGUAA